rnacentral:lncRNA from 1 species
GUUUUCUUUUACAACAAUUCCUGAAAUCCAUAAAAAACAGAAAGGCCAAUGUAGUACACUCCAUCGUCAAAUUCAUAAUUUCCGCCAAAGUCGAAGAAAGUAGUAUUUCCAGAUUUUCAAUACAUGAAAGUAAUUUUAUAAUUGUUCGACCAUAGAUAGACCCUUUCAAGAACACCAACUUGUGAAAAUGUUAUUAUGAUAUGAUUGGGGGACAAAUAAACAAGUGGCCGUGACUGAACUGAAAAAUCAAACACAUCUUAUGCAAUGAAGAAAUCAAGAGAGGCUGUUUUUAUUGGCUCAUUAGACUUUAUGUUACACGAAAAUAGAACACCUUGUACUGCUUCUCCCUGAAGGAACUGCACAAUCAUAUCACGGAAAUGCUGAAUACUUCACUCAUAUAUAAGCUAUUUGAUAAUCAUAAAACACCACAACGAAUUCAAUGCUUAAAUAUAUUUAACUUAAGGCUGGCAAUUAAGAAAAACUUAAUCAAUAACGUUUUAGUAAACUCUAUGGAAGCCAAAAAUCGUUGUUUCUAAGUUGUUCUUAACAAGUCCACCUAAUGGAUGUGAUAAAUAAGUGUACUUUUAUUGUUUCUUCUCCUAAUUAAGCUAGACAAAUUGGUUUGCCUAAUGGAAAACCGUCUUCUAUAGUUAAGGAGAAGAAAUAGUUACGUUCUUGCCUUUGGUUGAUUCUCUUCAAUCAACAAUAGUGCAAUCUUGAGAAGGUGAUGGCGGGUGAUGAUGAGUAGUCAAGACAGAUAAUGCGAUGAUGAAUGACUUCCUAAACUAGAAUAAAUUCCCGUUAAAAUAUGGACAAUGGCAAGCAAGACAAACUUGCAAAGCAUGUGAACAAGUCCAGUCGAAGUAUGAAAAUCUUGACAUCUAACAUCCCUUAUUCUGUAGAUUAAGCAAUAUUAUUCUGAAUGACAUUGAGAUAUCUACUUAAUUAUGGGGCUACUCAUCAAUAUGACAAGGUGCCAUCAACUAUUGUACAAAAUAAAGCUCAAUUCAUUUCUCACAUAGAGCUACAAAGGGUUUGGAGAUGAAGUACCUUGAGCAAAUUAAAAGGCUCAGAUAAAAAAUACGAGAAAUGGAGCUGUUAUUAUACCUUCAGUUUAUGACGAUGGUAUCGCAGUAUUUUCUCUUUCUCCUCCUUGCUUUCCUCAGUAUCCACUCCAUAUUUUCCUUGGCAGCCUCCAUUGAAUAAUUUCUUCCAUCUUCCCAACAAAGAGUGAUAAUGAGAACCAACACAAAAGGCAAAGGCAAAGGCAAAGGCAAAG